rnacentral:snoRNA from 1 species
UGCAGAUGAUGCGAAGGAACAGUUGCUGUCCGAGUGACGGUGAGGACGUCCCAAACCAUCGAGAUCGCUGAUGCG